rnacentral:rRNA from 1 species
UACGUAGGGUGCGAGCGUUAAUCGGAAUUACUGGGCGUAAAGCGUGCGCAGGCGGUUAUUUAAGUCAGGUGUGAAAGCCCUGGGCUUAACCUAGGAAUUGCGCUUGAGACUGGAUAGCUUGGAGUGCGGCAGAGGGAGGUGGAAUUCCACGUGUAGCAGUGAAAUGCGUAGAGAUGUGGAGGAACACCGAUGGCGAAGGCAGCCUCCUGGACCAGCACUGACGCUCAUGCACGAAAGCGUGGGGAGCAAACAGG